rnacentral:rRNA from 1 species
CCUACGGGAGACAGCAGUGAGGAAUAUUGGUCAAUGGCCGUAAGGCUGAACCAGCCAAGUAGCGUGAGGGAAGACUGCCCUAUGGGUUGUAAACCUCUUUUAUGCGGGGAUAAAGGUGUCCACGUGUGGAUGUUUGCAGGUACCGCAUGAAUAAGGACCGGCUAAUUCCGUGCCAGCAGCCGCGGUAAUACGGAAGGUCCGGGCGUUAUCCGGAUUUAUUGGGUUUAAAGGGAGCGUAGGCCGGUCUUUAAGCGUGCCGGGAAAUUUUGUGGCUCAACCAUGAGAGUGCGGCGCGAACUGGAGACCUUGAGUGCGCGGAAGGCAGGCGGAAUUCGUGGUGUAGCGGUGAAAUGCUUAGCUAUCACGAAGAACCCCGAUUGCGAAGGCAGCCUGCCGCAGCGUUACUGACGCUGAAGCUCGAAAGCGCGGGUAUCGAACAGGAUUAGAUACCCUAGUAGUC